rnacentral:lncRNA from 1 species
AAUGAAACCUAUUCGUAUCAAUCAUUUGUCCAUGUUGCCAACCAUAAUCUUCUGAUCGUUUAGGUGCCAUUAUGAUCUAUAAUUAUUGACAUACAAACAAUAAAUAAAAUCUAUUCCAGAAAAUAAAAAAAAAAGAACGAUAUGAUGAAAAAGGUAUCAUAUCUACUAAGUACCAAAUUUGAAAAUUCUUUUGUUUUUAUUUAUUUUUUGAUAAGUUUGAAAAAAUUAUACAGAUAAAAUUAUAGAAUAUUAUAACAGAUAAAACGAAAUGACAAAUAAAUUAAAUAAACUUAAAUAUCAAUUGUUUUCAUUUGGCUUUUAAUUUUAUCAAUAUUUUAUAUCUUAUGAUGCAAAAAAAAAAUUAUAAUUGAUGUUGUUACCCUGAUUCGCCGAACGCUUCACAGUGCGAGAAAUUUUGAUAAAAUAAUUUUCUCAAGAAAAGUGGAUGUCUGUGUUGGAUCAGAUAUGUCAAUUAAAAAUUAGCCGCUAUAUUUAUAAAUAAAAUAUAAAUAUAAUAUUUUUUUUACUUACCUAAUAAGCAAAUCUGCGAUAUGAGAUGUCCUUGCCUUCUUUCAAGCGAUUCUUUUCAGCGACGAAAGAAAGAGGACAAAUAAUUUUAGGAAGAUAUGUAAGAACUGAAAAGAACAAAAAAAGAGAGGAGAGAUAGCUAAGGUUGCUAAGCACCGCCGAAAGAAAGAAAGGGGAAGAAAGAAUCGAAGGAAAGAAAGAUUCGUGUAGAGGUAGGAGGCGGGUUUGCAUGAAUUUAUAAUCUCACACUCGGACAAAAGCAAAUUACACUGUGGGCAUGUGAUAUGAGCCACAGCAACCAAAGUAAUCAAAUGCACACAGCCUAGGCACUGUGUGCAUGUGAAUUUUUUUUUGCUUUGACCUGUGUGCAUGUGGGAAGAAAAGACAAAAAAAAAAAAUUUGCUUUGACCUGUGUGCAUGUGAAUUUUUCUAACGAAUGUGAAUUUGAUCCACAUGCACACCUAGGCACAUAGGCACAUGCACACAGCCUAGGCACACAGCCUAGGCACUGUGGGCAUGUGAUUUUUUCUAAAGAAUUUUUCUGAUCCAACGUGUGCGUGUGGCCCAAGGUUUCUGAUCCACUGUAGGCAUGUGAAUUUUUCUAACGAAGAUUUCUACACACACUGUGGCCCAUAGUCACAUGCACACAGCCUAGUUUACCAAAUGCUAAAGAAAAAGACAAAAAAAAAAAGAAAACAAAGGCUGUGGGCAUGUGAUAGCUGCCACAGCAAAAUAGGAUCCAAAGAGAAAAAAACAACAAAAGCAAAAGCAAAAAAAAAAAAAAAAAAGAAAACAAAGGCUGUGGCAUGUGAUAGAUGCCCACAAACAAAAUGGAUCAAAGAGAAAAUAACAAAGCAAAGCAAAAGCAAAAAAAAACAAAGCCAAAAAAAAACAAAAAAAAAAAUUGGGCACGGGCGGCACUGUGCCGCGGCACAUGCACCCGUGCCGCUUUGUCUCGAGCGGCACGGGGCAUGUGCCGAGGCACAUGGGGGGGGUCCGAGACCCCCCCUGUGCCGUGCCCCCUUAUUGGGGGCACGGCAUGGCACGCCCCGUGCCGCACGGCACGGGGCGGCACUGUUUUCCUUGCUUUUAGGUGUGUACAUCUGACUAAAACCAUUACGACUUAAUAGUACUAAAGACGCUUAUAUAUUAGGUCCCUAAAAAAUUGAUAAUAGGACCAAUUGAAUUGAUGUCGAUCCUUCUAUAUUAGUAGGACGGAUAGCUCCAAUAUCAUCAAGAUGAUUAAUCUCCUUACUGCCAAGGUCUCUAGAAGGUCUAAGUGUCUCAAACUCUCAGUCCCCAAAAAUGCCCAAUUAAACACUCCUCCGCAGAUGGCAAUCCUUCGAAGGAUGGAGAUAACCCUAGAACAUUCACCAUCAUUAACCUAAACAUUACUAGCAUGGAGUGUAACAUCCUAAUAGUCCCACAUCGGAUAAUGUGGGAGAGUGUGACGUCUUUAUAAGUGACGGACACAAUAGUAAUAAUAAUUAGGUUUAAGCAUUUUUAUUAUUGCUAACGAGUCAGGUCGUUAUAUUUGGUAUCAUAGCUUAAUAACCAGCCGGAAGUGUGAGAUGAAUCUCAUAUCGCCUGGAAAAUCAGGGACUCUGUAUGAUUGGGCCGGGUUGACAAGAACGUCAGGGCCUAAACGAGGGGAGCAUGUAGCAUCCGAAUAGUCCCACAUCAGAUAAUGUGGGAGAGUGUAAUGUCUUUAUAAGUGACGGACACAUUAGUAAUAAUAACUGGAUUUAAACAUUUUUGGUGGUUUGAGCCCAACGAAUUAUUAUUACUAGCGGAUCGGGUCGUUAUAUAGAGGGAGAGAGAGAGGAAUGGGGGGAAUCUGUUUGUGUGAAGAAGGGGGAAAGGAAGAAGAAUGGUCUUACAUGCUAUCCAAAACUCCCAAAGCAUGGCUUAUAGGGUGGACAUGAGAAUUAUACCUACAAGCUUGUAGGGUGACUUAUGUAGUUAUGUAUACAUAAUUUGGUGAACAAAAUUAAUGAAUCGCUGGAAUUACAUAUCAUAUAGGUCUCCUUAGGAUGAGUCGUGAGCCUAAAGAUGUGAUGGGAAAGAAAAAUAGCCGUUGUACUUCAUCUGUUUAAUUCUUUUCCAUUAUAUAUGUGAGACUUAGAGCUCAUUUGGCAAACCCCUAAUACAAAGUAAUGGGCAACUUAUUCUGUUUGUUGGGAAAACUUUUUUUUUUUAGUUGGCCCAUUUGAAGGGUCCAAAGACUAAAAAAUUACUAGGUAAAAUAGGCCUUACAAAGUAAUUAAAAAAAAAUUAUCGAACCUCUUUAACAAAAUUUCCUAUUCACGGUGUUGCUUCAGCUCGCCCCCUUCGCCCUUCGCUACACGCUCACCCCUCGGCCCCGCCGCCCUUCAUUGUGCAUCCCUAUUUCCCUUCUCCUUCUACUCCCUACUCCAAACCUUGCCCUUCAUCUUUCUCUCCUAUUUUCGACGCAUUCUCUCAGCCCUAUCCCUUUCCCUUUGCCUCGUUCGCCCACCCCCACCCCCACCCCCGCCCCCGCCCAAUUCGUCCGCUUCCUCUCCUCCUUCCUCACCAAAUUUCACUCUUCCUCCCAUCACUUAUGAACAUGAUGGAUCCAUUGUAUGGAAGUGUAGUCACACUGCAUCACCCUGGGAUUACUACAAUUGACAGGCAUCGAUGAAGGCAAGGACCUGCUAUGGCCCUACCCGGUGAACAACCCAAGGGAUGAGGGAGUGCCAAGCGAUGAUGAGAAAAAAAAUGAUAAUGAAAUUUGCAAUGUUUUGAAAUUUGUCAUAUUUUGAAAUUUGUUAUGAAAAAGAAGAAGAAGAUGAAUUUUUUUGCUUAUUUUUUUCGUUUAAGGCAACUUUUCUCAAUAUAAUACAAUCUACAAAUGAAUUAUACUUUUCUCCAUGCUUUGAUCCAUAAAUAAAGAUGUCUUAUUUUGUUUAAUGCAACUUUUCUUAAUUUAUCUUUUAUAGGAACAAAACUGGGUACUUUUUUUUUACGAGGCAAUCCAAAUACUAAAAACAGAGUAAUUUUUUUUUAAAGUAAAAAAUUUUUCGGCACCAAAUAUAAUGUAAAAUAAAACUUUAUUUUAUUUUUCAAUGGUUGCCAAUUGGCCCUUAGGCCCGUUUGGCAACCGUCCAAUAUAGAGUAAUUACUCUAUUUUUUGAAGAAUUCUGCUAUUUUUAGUUAGCCCACUUGGAAGGUCCACCUAACUAAAAAAAACUAUAUAAAAUGAGCUAUACAGCGUAUGAGCUAUGUAAAAAGAUUCUCUAUUCUUCGUGAUCGCCUAUUAGCCCCCUUCGACACUUCUCUGCUUGUUCACCCGUCACCCCUCUUCUCACUUUCGUAGCGAAUGGCUUUAGAUAUGCCUCUCUUCCGCCCUCUCUCCCUUCCUCCUCUUCCUGUUAUUCCUCCCAAAACCCUACCUCCGAUCAGGCCCCCUCCUCACGCUCCACUAGUACCACUACGUCAUGGGUACCCCAAAGACCUCGCGUGAACCGUGCCCCAAACAGAUCCUCGAUGACAUUAGUGGGGCCUUCAGCAUAGGCGCCAUGGGGGCUCCGCGUUUCACUUCCUCAAGGGCCUCUACAACUCCCAAAACCCUAUUUUAGAUCCACCUUGUUGCUUUCAAAUCUGUAUUCAUUCUUCUGUUGGAAGCAUUGGUACCAUGAAAUAAUCUUUGAAGUUCCUUCGAAUUGGUGAGGGCAAUCUGUGGUUUGAUUUGGAUUAUGGUUUUGUUCUAUAUUAUUUUAAUUGCUGAUUUUAUCCUUACAUAGAAAGUCUUAAUUGGAGAUUGAAUUCUUUUCUUAAUUGAUUAGGAUACACCGAUACAUUACUGGUACUUACAAAGUAUGAAUGAAAGCUUCAAAUUAUUCAGUUAUUAUGAUAUGGACUUCAGUAAAAUCCUUUGAGCAGGCUAUUGAACCUCUGAUAUAUGUUAUUGUUGAAACAGUGCCAUGUUCAAGCAUGUUUAUGCAUACUCUUUUUUCUUCAAUCCUAUAAAAAAAAAACAGCAUUUUAUCCAAUCAAUGAAAAACAGAGUAAUAAAUUUUAGAAUAUUCGGGAUUUCAUACCAACCUAUUACAGUGGAAUAUAAAACUCUGUUUUCAAUUCCUGCAAUUGCCAAACAAGCUCUUAGUGUAAAGUUUUCCGAACAGAACAAAGGUAUCUCCUACGACCUACCUUGGUCUUGAUUAUGUUACUUGAUUUUUCUUCUUCUAUUUUCAAGUUUGGGCCAAAUAGGAGCUUAACAAGCUAUAUUAUCUCGAAAGUGGUUGUACCAGCUAAGAAUACACCCGAAGGACCAGGGAGUUCGUUGUACCUUGAUGAACGUAUACUUGUCAUACUGUUUAAUGCUCACUUCUCUUAUUAUUGCAACUUUGUACCUCACAAAAGUAUCCUUAUUUAAAUACCUAGUUUUGCUAAUUACAAUUCUUCUUUCGAACCAAAAGGAUACCCGUACUCGGACCAUCAAAUAGAAUCAAAAGGAUACCGCAUUCAAACCAUCAAGAACAUCGGAAAACCUCAUGAAUCAAGAUCAAGAUCUAGGGUUUAUGACGCGAUUGCGCGGCGAUUUCAUACCUCGGUGAGGGCCUCCUCCGCCGCCCUCCGCUCCUCCGGGACAGGGCUGAGCGCCCCGCGGAGCACGAGGGCGAGGCUCCGCGGGUCCAUGGCGUCGAGGAGGGGGGAUUCGUGGGGGAAAACAGGGGUCCUCGCCCGAUCGAUUGAAAGGGGGAGGCGACGACGAGCUAGGGUUUUGGGACGGCGAGGCCAGGGAGAGGACGAGAGGGGAGAAGAAGAGGCGAUGGAGGAGGAGGAGGAGAAAGGGGUGAGUUGGGCCGGAGAGAGUUGGAGCCUCGGAGGGGCGAGAGAGAGAGAGAGAGAGAGAGAGAGAGAGAGAGAGAAAAGAGAUUAAUUAAAUGCAUUUAGACCCGGAUUCAGUUACCUGUCACGUCUGGAAUCAUUUGUUUAAACGGAGCCCUUGGAUUUCAUUGGUCCGCAUCGGAUCGUCCGUCCACGUGUUUACUUUCAUGGACCGGGUCCAUAUGCAGACCAGAUUUUCUUUUGGGAUAAUUUCAUCAAUGCCCUGUAGAAGACCGUAAUUUCAUGAAUAACCCUCUAAAGUAGAAAAUAGGGGUUUUUGCUUUUUUUGCAAAUAGCUCCCUGACAAAUUUUAUUUACAAAAAUAGCCCCGUCCAAAAUUUAUUUGCAAAAAUGGCCCUCGCCCUGCCACGCGAGCGCCACGUCAACGCCACGCGGGCAGGGCCUGGGCCAGGUAUUCAAGUUGAACACGGUGAUUCGUUCACCGUGUCUAAACACGAUAAACCAAUCACCGUGUUCAAUAGGAAUGCGGCGGUCGGUAUUUCUAUUGAACACGGUGAACCAAUCACCGUGUCUAGACACGGUAAUUGGUUCACCGUGUUCGAUAGAAAUAUCGCAAUGGUAUUUCUAUUGGACACGGUGAACCAUUCACCGUGUCUAGACACGGUGAACCAUUCACCGUGUUCUCUUUGAAUACACACCCCGUCUUGAUCUCUGUUUCUAAAUGCAAUUCUAUUGGAAACGGUGAAUGGUUCACCGUGUCCAGCAAACCACUCUAGACACGGUGAACCAUUCACCGUGUUCUCUUUGAAUCACAACCCCCCCCCCACCCCACCCCCGAACUCUGUCUCGAUUCUCUCUCUCUCUUCUCGAUCUUUCUCUCUCUCGCUCUCUUCCUCUUUGCUCUCUCUCUAUCUGGCGUUACACGCCGGCCGCCGCCGCCCUUUUUGUUGCCCGAGUAGCUUCAUUCUCUGUUCUCCCUAGCCCAUAGAAGCUUCUCUCUCUCCUCUCUCUCCUCUGUGGCCCACACACGCCUGCCGCUUGGCGUAGCCGCGCCGCCUCACCCGUCUCUAUGUUAUGUUGUUUAAACAGCUUGGAAUUUAAAAAAAAAGAAAAAAAAAAAAAGCACUUUAUCCUAAAAAUGAGCAAGGCGAAACAACCUUAGAGGGCGUCUGUCGUAUAGGUUUGGGGUUUUCUUAUUGAAAUUAUGACACUUUAACUCUUUAAUGUUUAUACUUACGCCACUAUUUUACAUUCAUGUUGUAUCUAACUAAGUUUUUUUUGUUAGCCAAUUUCCAGAUGGCAUGAUGCAUGACGAGCCGGCGACCGGUAUUAUACAUUCCGGCUCGAUGAGCAGCCAAGACAUAGACUUACUUUUGACAGAGAGCGAGGGUAAAUUUUUUAAAACGUAUUUAAAUUUACGUAGAUUUCUUUAUACUGUACUAAUUGUACGAUGCCUGGCAUUCACAAUCAUGCAGUGAUAUUUUCCUGUUCAAUUUACGAGAGCAUGGCCUGAAAUUUUACAGAUGGCAUGUGCUAGCUGCCUGCACGGUGUUGGACUUAUUGCGACGAGCAGGAUUUUAUUACGUUUCACGAUUGCGCCGCCUACAGCUCGAUCAGUCAUUAUUGGGAGCAUUAGUCGAGAGGUGGCGGCGGGAGACACAGUUUCCAUUUGCGACAUGGAGAGAUGAGUAUUACAUUGAUGGAUGUCGCAGUUAUUAUGGGACUCCCCGUCGAUGGUGGCGCAGUGACUGGAGGGGGAUCCUAUCAGUGGGCAGAGUUUUGCGGGUUACUUCUCGGGGUGGUUCCGGAGGAUAUUAGGGGUGGUGAGAUCAAGAUAGAUUGGUUAUAUCAGCAGUUCCAUGAUAUCCCCUUAGACGCACCUCCGGCUAUUGUUAGAGCUACGGCGAGAGCAUAUAUACUAUUUCAGAUAGGAUGUAGUUUGUUUCCAAAUCCAAGUGGGAACAGGGUGCAUUUGAAAUGGUUGCCACAUUUAGAGGAUUUUGACCUUUGUGGUGCAUUAGCAUGGGGUGCAGCCGCGCUAGCACAUCUUUAUCGCGCUCUAGAAAAUGCUUGCAUCAGGGGAAAGGUCGAGUGUUGUUGUUUUGGGACAUUAGUUCAGGUACAAUACUUCUAACAAGAAGACCCUUAUAAUACUUCUAGUUAAGUCAUGGUUUUUGUUUUCAUUUCUAACAAGAAUGUUUUUUUUGUAUAGAUAUGGGCAUGGGACCACCUGCAUAUUAGCCGCCCUGAGGUAGUAGGCCCGCAGCCUGAGCUUGUCGACAUGCCAUUAGGGUGUCGGUAAGUAUUUUUUCAUUUUAAGUUUUCUAUAUACUAAUUUUUCAUAACUAAUAUGAUAUAAAUGAAACAGGUGGAAUACUAGAUUAGCAUUUCGGGACAAUGUCAGGACUACUGACAUUGAGUUUUAUCGUGAUCAGCUGGAUCAGCAGUCUGGUGAGAAAAUACUUUAAACUAUAUAUAUUUAAGAUUAAUAUUCUUGAUCUUGAAUUUAAAAAGUCAGUAUACUAUGGUUUAGGUUUAGGUAAGUUUACUAUCUAUACUAUAUAUAGAGUUAGGCUACAUUAUAUAUCUACAAUAUAAAUAUCUAUUCAACUAUAUAUAGAGCUUAGGGCAUCGGACGCGAUUUCCGAUUAUCAUUCAUUUUGAAAGCUGGAAGACGUCAUUUUUGGCGUAUAUUUCGCGUAGGUCGACGGAUGGCCGAACGACGUUUCCGUGCGAACGUGGUUCGCUAUUAACCCUCAAUUACGAUUUGUUAGGGAUCAAUUUCAAGUGUAGAGUCUCAAUACUUGCAAAAGUGCUUAUUCGAGACUAGGCAAUUCCUUAUACUAUUAUAUAUAUAUACUAGGGUAUAUUAUAUAUAGAGAGAGGAGAGAGGGUAAGAGAGGAAGAGGGGAGAAAGAGAGGAGGAGAGAGAGAGAGCUUAGGCUACUAUUGCUUUCUCUAUACUAUAUAUAGCGCGUAGGGUACUAUAAUAUAUCUAUGUUAUAUAUUAGAGCUAGGUACUAUACUAUCUAUACUAUUAUAUAGAGCUGGCUACUAUAUACCAGAAUCUAAAUUUCUUCAAAUUGUGAUAGAAAAUACUUUAAAACUAUUUAUGAAGUUAGAUUUAACAGUCUUAGAUUUGAUUUAACAAGUCCUAUGCUCAAUUUUAAAGAUUAUUUCAAAUUUUCACCGGCUAUUUUUUUCAAGAUAGAUUCAUUAUAUAGUGUUUUGAUAGCUAAUCAUAUGUAUUUUUUCACAUAUGAUUAUAUGGAGGCUUAUGAACGACGCAGUGGUCUAGAGCGCUCCCACCUUUUUGUUCUGGCGGCGGGUCCAGGUUUGCGCGAUCGAGGACUACUUAGUCUGGCUUCCACAUUAUUGAGCUCAUCACUCCGAUCUGUGCUUCGCCAGUUUAGGGUACUACAGCAUCUUACUCUGAACCUGUGACUGUGCCAUACCUCUGACAAUUCGACAAGGGGGGGGGACAGAGCAGAUGAGGAUUGGGCGGCAUACCAGCCUAAGACAAUUUGGAGCGUUUGCUGGAAUAUAGAUUAGGUAGAAUUAUAGCAGAGGGUAGCCCUGAGACAGAUCAAAUCCCGAUACGAGCUACCACUGUUUACAUGCCCGAGUGGUUAUUGGACGGCAUCACCAGGAGGUGAGAUAUUCUAGACUGUUACAGCGGAGCCACACUCGGCCUUCAGCACGUGGACACCCUCGAGAGAGUAUGCUGGGUAUGAUUGUAAUUGAAAAUAUCUUUUUAUAUUAUACCCUUUUAUAUAUACAAGAAAAGUCUGUGUACUAAUCUUUUUUAUUGUGCUUUUAUUUCAGCGUUGAUUCAUGCCUGCAAAGAUCAAUUAUACGAUCAGACGUGUCUACCCGGUAUUUCAGUGAGGUGGACUCUUAGUACCCCUAUACAGGUCGCCGAUCAGAUGGAGGCAGUUCGUCGGAGACUUUACCAUACGCUUCCAGAUAUGUACCUCAGGACCAGCAGACUUAAUGGUGGGCAUUGACGUCCGGCCAUGCAACCCAUUAUAUUAGAGUACACCGAGUGCAUCAAUCAAUCGAGUAGGCGGAGCCACCUCUAUGCCUGGUGUAUUGUUACGGACGCACCAGACACAGUACCGCAGGAUCCAAGCAUCAGCGGCAGUGCAUAUUUGUUUAUUUUAGGCGUCGACGGGCGAUUUCGAGGUUAUCGUAAGGAUCAAUCCCUCCUCUUCAGCUCCUCCACGGCCAGACAUACUACCGGCACAUGCUACUGCUGUGAUUGAGCCGGUUAUUGAGAGUGCUGCUAUAGAGCAUCUAGACCAGUUGGAGAUCUUGGAGCCUUUUGAUGAGUAUGAUGUUGGUCGUGGUCACGGACGUGGUAGGCGACGUGGUCGAGGAGGUCGAGGGAGGAGAACAUGAUAUUAUAUUUAUAUAUUAUUGUAUAACUUGCAUUUAUUUUGUAUAUUCUGUUUUGAUUAUUUGGUAUUUAUUAUAUUAUUGCGAUUCUAUUGGUUGUGAUGUUGUAAUGUGUAUUAAUUUUGUGAUGUUGUGAUGUGUAUUAAUUUUGUGAUGUUGUGAUGUGUAUUACUUUUGUGAUGUUGUGAUGUGUUGUGAUGUAUUGUGAUGUGUAUUGAUAGGUAUCUGUAUUGUAUUCUUGUAUUGAAUCUUGUAAUUGAUUUUUCUGCGGCAAAUUUUUAGUUGGGUAGGCAGUUGUAUUGGACACGGUGAAUGGAUCACCGUGUCCAAUACAUUUGUAUUGGACACGGUGAUCCAUUCACCGUGUCCAAUACAAAUCUAAUGGACACGGUGAAUGGUUCACCGUGUCCAAUACAAAUGUAUUAAGCACCCCCGAAAAUGGCUAAGUCCGUGUCCAAUACAACUAGCCAGGCCGUAUUUGGCCAAAUAUGGAAGUGAAGGACGCGGUAAAUGGUUCACCGUGUCUAAACGCGGUGAACAGUUCACCGUGUCUAGACACGGUGAAGGAAUCACCGUGUCAAAUGCAAGCUAAAGCCCCGGGCGGGGCGUGAGUAACACUGUGAACACGGUGAUUGGUUCACCGUGUUUAGACACGGUAAACGAAUCACCGUGUUCAACUUGAAUACCUGAACUAGGCCCUGCCCGCGUGGCGCUGACGUGGCGCUGGCGUGGCAGGGCCAGGGCCAUUUUUGCAGAUAAAUUUUAGACAGGGUUAUUUUUGCAAAUAAAAUUUGUUAGGGGGCUAUUUGCAAAAAAAACCCUAGAAAAUAUCAUCAUACCUAGGGAUGUAAUGUGGGCCGUGCCGGGCCCACAUUUCCCAGGCCGAAACGGGCCAGAGGUCAGCCCGGCACGGCCCGGCCCCAAAAUUAGGCCAUGCCGUGCCGGACCAAAGUUCUUGGAACCCAGCCCAACACGGCCCCCCCGGCCCGCACUUCACGUGCCGUGCCGGGCCGAGCCGGGUCGCGCUUCGGGCCAGCCCUUUUUUUAUUUUAUUAAUUUUAUUUAAAAAAAAUUAAUUUUUUUAAAAAAAUAAAAUUAAAAAUAUUAUUUUUGAAAAAAAUUAUAUAUCAAUAAAAAAAUUAAAAUUUUAAAAUAUAUUUACAAAAAUAUUAAAAUUUUAAAUUAUUUUAAAUUUUUAAAUUUUUUGGACCAAAUUGCCAUUCCCAACAGUCAAAAAUUUGACUGUUGGGAGGAUAUUUUUGGAUCAAGCUUACCUCUCAAGCAAGCUCCAAUGGAGAGGAAGAAGAUGAAGGAGAUGAAGAUCAACUUCCAAGCUUGCUUUUCCACCAAGUCCUUCUCUUGAUUCCACCUUCAAGAGAGAAAAAAAGAGGAUUUUUCUUUUUCUUCUUCCAUGCGUGUGUGGGUGUGUGUCGUGGGUGCGGUUUGGGGCUGCUGCGGCUGAGCAAGGAGAAGGAGAAAAGGGAUUUAAUCCCUUUUUACCAUUUUGCCCCUCAACUAUACACUAUUCAUCACGGGCAGCUUGAAAUCUGAUAAAUUUCGUUGGAGCCUUUCUGAAUGUCCGUUUGAGUUCAAAUUCGACAGGCAGGCUCAGUUUAACGUACUGAGUAAGAAUAUAUUUUAAGUUUUCAGUUUCAACCCCAUUUGGUCACCGAAAACUAUACCGAACUGUAAUCUUUAUCAGAUAGCUGUCGGAUUUUAUUUCUCACUCUACGGGUGUCAGAAAAAUAUGAAACUUUAAAUCUAGCCUCAUAAAAAUAUUUUUGACCUAUCCUCCAAUUUUCAUAAUUUUCUGAGACUGUGCAUUUUUUGCUAAUUUAUCUGUCCCGUUUUCAACAGAAAAUUAUAAAUCUUCUGUUUCCAGUCCAAUUUCAGCACAAGUCAUUUAUGACUUAUAUUUUACUCCUCUAAAUCCAAUAAAAAUAGUUUCUCACACUAUUUUUAUUUACUUUUAUUUUUUUACAGCAAAAUCUGGUAUGUUACAGUUGGGCUUACAACUCCCAAUGCCAUUGGGAGUUGGGCUUUGGGGCUCUCCCAAGGGUCUGUGAUAAUAGAUUCUUGGGAGUUGGGUUGUUUAGUAUUUAGAAAUUGUUCGAUUCAUGGAUUUCGUAUUUCUAUCGUCAAAAGUCUGAAUUGGAGCCUCGUCUUUUGAUUAUAUCUACUUGCACAUGUUGGACAUGGAUAUGACUUAGGAGAAAACUGCGAUUAUGACCCGUCAUAUGCUUACACUACCAGAUUUAGCUUUAGGAGCCGUUGUUAUUUUGUAUCGCCGCAGUAUCAGCUUGGUGGAUAUCUCAGGUAGUGUAGAUUUCUGUUAUGCUUGUACUGAGAUGUUUAUCCUAUUUUUACAGUAGUGUUCAGACUAUUCCGGACUGUUGGGGGCCGUUGGGGUUGACAGUGGACCCGGAUUGCUAUUUUGGCAUCAGUUUGUGCUGAGGGCACGUGAUUCGUUGGUUGUUAGACCAAUUGUGUAGCAUACUGGACCUGUGCAAAUUGCGAGGUUCGAGUGAUUGGAUGUGUUUCGAGCUUUUCCACACUUAGUGGAGGGUCGUAAAAUAUUUUUCGGCUUAAAAAGUUCGAAAAUCUGAGUUCUGGACGAGUCCUGAGAGGUUUUACUCUCGGGGACCGGUCCCCCGGUCCCUGGCUGGGAGAGACCAGCCCCCCCGGAACAGUAUUGCGGCAGCCUUGAGGCAAUCGGUCCCUAGCGGAUGAGACCGGUCCCUGAGCGCGUCUACACGGGGAGAGACCGGUCCCAUGCGGGGAGAGACCGGUUCCCGAACGUUGGUUUUUCGGGAUGGUCCCGAGGGACUAGUCCCAGUCGGGAGAGACCGGUCCCUCUGGGCGAAAACUGCCCAGUCCGGGCUGAUGCAAUAUUGGGAAAUUGAGGGGCUUCUCUGAAUUUUGUUGCUUGGGAGGGCCUAUAUGGCCAUUUCACUUCCUCUCUCCCUCAUUUCUCUCCUCACACUCUCCCCACACCUUUGAUAGAGAAGGAGAAGAAGGAGAAGGAAGGAAGGAGAAGAAGGAGAGCAAUUAAAGGACUUGGAGCAUCUUCCACUCCCUCUCUUCUUCCCUUUGGUGCUUGAAGGCUUGAACUUAGAGCUUGCAAGAGAGAAGAUCUUCACCCUUGGAGUUUGAAUUGGAGCUUCUUAAGAGGUUAGUUGCUCUUUUCUCCCCUCUAGACCUAGUUUUGAUGGUUUUUGGGAGAUGAAAUCCUAGAAUGGGAAAUCUAGGGUUUAUGUAGGGCUUUUUGAUUAGAGGCUCUUUGAGCUAAUCUAAUGAGAUUUGAACUUUGGUUUAGGUUUCUUUGGAAGAGAUUUAGCUUCUACUUGAGCUUUGAAGAGGGAUUUUUACAUUAGGUGAGAUUUUAGCCUCUUGAGCAUAGAUGGUUGAUGUUUGAACUUGUAGUUGAUCGUAAGGUUCGUUUAACCUUUGUUCCUACAUCUUUAGGGUACUAGGAGGCUAGUGGACAUCCUUGUUGGAGCAAACGAAGGGUUGCGCAAGUUUCGGUGGGUUUGACCUAGCCUACAAUAUGAGAAAUGCUCAUAUUUGGUGAUUUAUGCUUCGUAAAGUGAAAAUUCAUGCAUUUUCAUGCUAAAUGUAUUUAUUGUGAAUUUUAGAAUGCUUAACAUCCCUAUGUCAUGUAUAAUGAAUUUUCAGACCUCUGUGUAGUAGAGAGUUGCAUGUGAGGCUUAUACUAGCAUUUGACAUUCUUAUGUCGGACUCGGGACCAUGUUUCUUACAAUGAAAAUGAGCAUUGUUUAGUACUCUUAAACCUAUGCAUUCUAGAGACAUGAGAGAUAGCUAAUGCCAUAACGAGGCAUCGGACUAGACCGUUAUGGGAAAAUUUGGAGCUAAUGUCAUAAAGCGGCAUUGAGUUCGGGUUAUGUGUGAAGCUAGCACUAGUGUCAUGAUUGGAACAUGGAAUAUGAAAUGUGCUUAACUUAUAGCAAUGCUUAAGUGUCAUAAAGAGGCACUAAGUAUAGUGAGUGUUAGAACAUCACCUUGAGAUAUUGUACUAGAUCUUUGGGAUGCUAGUAGCUAUGACCAUGUUACAGACAUGAUGAUUGGACACUUGAGACGAUGACUUUGCUUGCUUGCCAUUUGUGCUCAUCGCAAAUGCUUGUGAGGGUCGCUCCCUACAAGCCGGCACUCCGGAGUUGGCCUACGCGACUUAUGAUCGCUCAUGCGGUAUCGAGAAGCCUAUGGGGUUGGGAGGGAUAGACUCAUUUCCAGAGUGAAAAUGCUAGAGCUACCACCGGCACUUAGGCGGCGCAAGCCGAACUACACUAGUGUAGGUCCUAAAACAAGAUUGAACUUGGACAUAAAUUCUUAAAUUUGAAUCACUGCUAGAUAGAUCAUAGUAGUUGGAUUAUUGGACAUACUCAUAGUGUGGCUUUGAGAUAUUGGGACAUGUAGUAUACUUGAUAGAAUUACUUAUCGCAUCUUAGUAUACUUGGCAGCUGAUGAGCGUAUUCACCCGACAUUGGCAUAUUCAAACAUGAUAGCAGUGAUAUACAUCACAUUUACUUGUGGCAUAGCAUUUCACUCAUGCUUUCAAUUCUGCAGUUUAUUAUUGUCUACUACUACUAUUGUUGUUUAUCGCAUUAUCCCUUUUCUUUUGGGGUCUAGUGGUGCAUUGAGCUGAGGUCAGUAAUUGCCUACUGGGAACUAUAAAUUAUAAUUCUCACACCCUCUUUUUCGUGUUCUUUUACAGAGCCUUCCACUCCGGGCGAGGCUAGGGAUCGUAGAAAGAGUAUCGCCUCGAGCUAGCUUGCUUUGAGAGGCUCGUCGAUAGGUGGUCUACCUCUCGUUAUUUUAUUUUGAAGAGGUUUUGGUGAGGUUUUGGAGAGUUACCUGUGUAUAGAGACCACCCCAUUGUGGAUUUCUUUAAGAUUCUUAUUGUACCUUUUUAUGCUUAUGCUUAGUGGACUACUUUACUCCUUCUCUACUUGUUGCUAGUUUUUAGUUGUUAGCAACUCUGAUAUCUCUAGAUACUUGUUUCUUCUUGCUUUCGCAUCUCUUUUAUUGUAGACGACUUAUAUGCGCAGGAAUAUGGCGGGUCUAGGCAGGGUCCCGGGGUGUGACAAGUUGUCUGUGUACUAGACUAUAGCCUACGAGAGCCUAAUUGAGCUCGACAGAGAUACGCCUGCAUACUCGGUUUGGUAGCGCCCACGAGUGCCACUCCGGAGUUGGGCUUUGUGCGUUUGCGUUGGUAUCGUUAUGUUCUGGUUGGACUUGCUCUCUACGGACUGCUUAGUGGUGGAGGUAGCUUUAGCUUCGACAGGCGGGACGGGUGUGUUCACAGUCCUUGGGACUGGUAUGCUUACAGUCUCUAGUAAGAUUGGGUCAGGAUAUAUUUUCUACAGAUGGUUAGUGUUAGAGCAUGAUAGUAUAUUGGCAUUUAGCUGUAGAUUUAUUCCAGUAUUUUCUACUAUCCCUGCUUACUUCUGUAGACUUAGUGGGUGGACCGAUAAUGUUGAGAGCGGCACCCACUGAGGACUACUUAUUUUUACAGUAGUUCUCACGCCCUAUUAUUAUUCCUCUUUUGCAGAGCCUGCUGUUCCGGCUGCUACACCCUCUGAGACAGAUCGUGGCAAGGGCGUUGCGAGUUAGAGCCCUACCAGACGAGCUGACAAGUUAGUGGAACACCAGCUACAGGUAGUUGUAGUUUUUGGUUCAUUACAUACUGAUGUUAUACCUCGCUGGAGCGAGUGCUUUUGUAUUAGGAUACUGUGUAUGUACUGAUCCAUUUUAUUAUAUACUUGUUCUUCUAGCAGCUCUAUACUAUUGGUUAUAGUAUUGUUUGUUUACAGAUUCAGUACAGCUUCUCUUCGUAUACAGGAAAAAUUUCUUUGUAUACGGCGGGUUUGUUGGCGUGCCCGAAGAAACUUAUAAUCCGGGGCGUGACAAUAAUUUUUAAAUUUUAUUUUAAUUUUAAUUCUAGAAUUUAGAUUUAAAUUUAAAAUUUGACAUUUAAACGUUAUAUUUUAAGUUCCCAAACCUCACCUCAUACCCCCGACAUUUUUUUUCUCCCAAACCCUUCCCAUUCGUAUCCAGCUCUUGUUCCUGCCGAGAUCUCCGGCGAUCGCCGCCGGAGAGAUCUCCGGCGAUCACCACGCGGAAUCGGAGGGGACGGGAGCCGCUGCGGAGCUUCGACGGCGGUUGCGAGCAGUGACCGACACAGGCGAUGCCGCACGACGGAGUGGAGCAGCUGAAGCUGAGGAGCUACCACAUGGUGGAGUGGGCGGUGGACGUGGGGAUGUUCCGUGCGGGUGCAGUGGAGGAUGUAAGGAGGUCCCGCUUCGCGGUGGCGAAGAUCGGAGAGGAGGACGACGGCGACGACAAGCCCAAGGACGAGGAGUACUGGAGCGAGUGACGAGGAUUUGAGGAUCCGAGCAACCGAAUCAAUGAGUGUGAGCAAUAGCACCCUGGUAAUGGACUUUGCACUUUCUUUUCCCUUUCUUUUUGGUGUUCUUUUGGAUUAGUGUUUUAGUUUUCUUUUUUCUUCUUAUUAUUGUGCGUAGAGGUCUCAGCAAUAAAUGAUUCUUCAUAAUAUUUCAAGACCUUAGUUAAUUUAGUAAUAAAGGCUAUAAAUCUGAAGCAAAAGAAGUGGCGCAAGCUUGCGCACAAAUUGUUUGUGAAAAUGCCUCAACAAUAGUAUAAAAAUAGGAAUAUCUGCCAAUGUUUUAUUUCAGUAGAGUUUCUAAAACAAUAUGGUAACAACACCACGCAAGCAGAAGAUUCAGAUGCUUUUAGUUCUGUAACUUCUGUUUUAGCUCCUCACCACAGCAGAAGUUCGCGAUUUUGGUUCCGAAGUGAGACGCUAUUCUAAGUUGAGUCAAUUCCAAGCUUAAGAUUGAAUUUGAUAACAACAUAAUUAUGUCAUAUAUGAUGCAAAUUGUUAUUUUUAUGUGGAUGUCGUCUUAGUUCAAACUGUAAACUCGAACCUCGAGUUUUUUUUAAUCUGUUGGCUAUGAUCUUAAUUGGUAAAGCUUGCCUCUGACAAUGACAAAAGCUUGAUGCCUCUAAAGUGGUUGUAGUACAAGUGCGAGCUACACUUGGAGAAGGGUCUCUUUAAUCAUCUCACUAGCCAGUUUAUGUUUGAUGCCAGCUUAUGUUUGAUGAGGUCUGGUGAAUUUUUUUGUGAUUGUUGCCUGAUUGUAGCCUUGCAGAUGGAUAUACUAAUGUGAUUGUUGUCAUCUAAAUCAUUUAACGAAGCUACAAUUUAGGUAAUGCUUAGAUCAUGUUGACCAUUAAUGCUAAAUGUACGUUUUUCUCUAUGAUUGGUUCUUUUUUUUAGGGGUGCUAAAAUCUGUUUGGCUUGUAUCUGGACAAUUAAGCAAGGUAUGCAUGUCUGCAUAGCUAUACAUUUUUCUUGUGCUGCGAGAAUAAUCAUGGUGCUUUUUUAGCUUAUUAUUGGUUGAGGAAUUCUGAAUUUGUGAUCUCUGAUUCACUCUAUAUGAGUAUUCUAAAUAUUGUUUGGGUGCAAACUUUAUGGCUUAUUCUUGCAGGUAAGCGAAUGUUUGACCAUUUAUUCAAUUAGCUUUAUCAUAUGUUCCAUUGGAACCAGAUGCAACUCUAGGUUCUUGCUUGUCUCAAUAAAAAGUUUUCCUAAUUGAAUUAGAAAAUUCAUCAUUAGUAUCUGUAAAAGAAGGUAGUUUAUUUGUUUGUAAGGCUGAUAUUUUAUAUAAAUGAUGUACGAACAUACAUAUUUAUAUUAUCUAAAACUUAAAAUAUAAUUGAUAGUGUAGAGAUUUUUGUGUUAUUUUGUCAAUUUUAAGAGUUAUCUGACAGCUAGAUAGGGAUCUUAUAUAAUGAAAAUUGAUUGUCUACUUUAUAGGAAAUGAGUUUAAGAAAUAUGACAAAUAGGUCCUUGCAAACAAUGGCACAUACAAUUGGCUCAAAAAGUUAUGAAAGACUACGUGAAGAUAAGGUACAGAAUUUCAACAUUUUAUGUUAUGUUUUGUCUAUUUUAUGUUAUGUUUUGUUUUGUUUUCGAGCGCAAGAAAUUCAAGUGAUCUGAGCACAAUUUGAAACUGAGGUAGAGGCAAAAUGGGAAGCAAAGAUGAAAGAAAUUACUGAUAAACAACGAGAUAUGGAAAUAAUGAUGACUAAUAUUUUGAAACAUUUGGAUGGUACUACAUCUUCUCAACCGGUUGACAAUGAAAUGCAAUCUAGCACAAUAUAGUAAGUUUCCAUCUCUCUUUCUUAUUUAAACUUAAAUUAUUUGUAUGUCUCUUUGAAGCAGUAUGCUUGCUUCAAUUCUUUAUUUGUUCCUUACCUUUUAUUUGUUCUUUGUAUAUCUUUUAUGCUUCUUAAAAGGCUGGAAGCAAAUUCCUGAAAUCUUUAUGUCUUAGACAAGGAAAAUGAUUGAAUGGAAGCCCUGCUUUUUCUUAUACUGUGGGUAAACAAGGCAUCUGUGUGCACACACAAUAUACAAAUUCAUUUGAGCAUCCAUAUCAGCUUGUAUUUGUUUUACAAGUCAACUUGGUGCUCACUGUUCUGCACAAAUAUGAUUCUCUUGUAUCUAGUGCUGCAAAUAAAGCACCAUCUUACCGCCCCUUCUGUAGUUGCAUAGCUGAAGCACUUUUAAUAACUAACUUGUAUUAAUUCUCAAGUUCAUUGGGUUGUAUCGUUUUUCGUACACAAAUGACGCGAAUGGAUGCCAAAAUUCUUCUUAUUUUUGAAUGGUAUGUCAUGUGACCAAAAUCACUGAACUUCCUUUCCUCUCUAUUAGCUCAUGCAAAUUGUAUUAUUUUGUACAUACUUCUCUCUUAAAUUGUGUUAGUAGCAAUUAUGAUCAUCAGUAGAUUUUAGAUUUUGUACCCUGGCCGGAUAAAAUCAUUUUCUGCAUUGUGUAUCUCAUGUAGGAUAUUUCUGUUAUUUUUUCGUCUACCUAUUUGUUCUAUGUUCCCUACUUUACCUCAUAAUUUCUGUGUUUUGUUUUUUUUAACUGUCAUUCUUAUUUGGUUGUCCUUAAAGUCAAAACUGUGGAAAAACAGCAAAAUACUUUAAUAUUUACAGUGGCAGAGUUUGGUAACUUUCUUCUUUUCAUUUUUAGCAUCGGAGUGGAGCAGGGUAGCUGUUAAUAAUUACCUAACUAUGUCCUAGUUUAAAAUUGCUUUUCCACUUUUAUGCUCUAAAUGACCCAAAGAGUUCAAAAUCACUUCCAAUCUCCGGUGGCAAUUGCCAGUNCCCCAAGUACAAUGCUACUUUAUGACACUAUACUUCUACUAUAUUUAACAUAUGUCCAUUGUUCAUGAGCAAGUAAUUGUAUGUCAUUUAGCUACAUAUUUCAUGAUUCCAACACAUCAUGAAGAUACCAUAUAUUAGCAUGAGUAUGUUGCACCUAUUUCCCUACUACAUAGAGAUGAAAUCUUAUGAUACAUGACAUAUACAUUUUAAUCAUUCUAAAAUUCAUUUAUGCCCUAUCUAGUAUGAAUAUGCAUGAAUUUUUAUUUUACGACAAAGAAUAAAGCAUAGGGAGAUCAGUUCACCCAUUUUGGUGAGGUCAAACCCACCAAGAGCUCCUUGUAACCCUUUCGUUUGCGCGAGCGAAGGUGCCCACAAGUCUCCUAGCUCCCUAAAAAAAAUUCUAAGAGAGUUAGACGAAACGAAUGAACACCCAAUGCGUUCAUCUUUAACCAAUCCAAGAAAAGGGUUAAAACUUACCUAUGAUGUAGAAAGACCCUCUUAAAUCCCAAAGGUGAGCUAAGUCCCUUCUAAUUCAACCUAAAUAAAGGUUCUAAAUUAAUCAAUUGAGCUCCAAAAGCUUCUAAUAAAAAAUCCCCAAAUAAAACCUUAGAUUUUGAAUUUUCUGUGUGAAUCGAGGCUGUUAUUUUAGCAGAAAAAGUGUCAGAAAAUUCUAAAAAUAUGGAAAAAUGUUAAGAUUAUUUUUAUGAGGCUAGAUUUAAAGUUUCAUGACAUUCUG